AUUGAACGCUGGCGGCAUGCUUUACACAUGCAAGAUGAACGGCAGCGCGGGCUUCGGCCUGGCGGCGAGUGGCGAACGGGUGAGUAAUACAUCGGAACGUGCCCAGUAGUGGGGGAUAGCUCGGCGAAAGCCGGAUUAAUACCGCAUACGACCUGAGGGUGAAAGCGGGGGAUCUUCGGACCUCGCGCUAUUGGAGCGGCCGAUGGCAGAUUAGCUAGUUGGUGGGGUAAAGGCCUACCAAGGCGACGAUCUGUAGCUGGUCUGAGAGGACGACCAGCCACACUGGGACUGAGACACGGCCCAGACUCCUACGGGAGGCAGCAGUGGGGAAUUUUGGACAAUGGGCGAAAGCCUGAUCCAGCAAUGCCGCGUGUGUGAUGAAGGCCUUCGGGUUGUAAAGCACUUUUGGCGGGAACGAAAAGGACUGUGCCAAUACCACGGUUCGAUGACGGUACCCGCAGAAUAAGCACCGGCUAACUACGUG
rnacentral:rRNA from 1 species